rnacentral:rRNA from 1 species
GAUGAGUAGGGCGGGACACGUGGUAUCCUGUCUGAAUAUGGGGGGACCAUCCUCCAAGGCUAAAUACUCCUGACUGACCGAUAGUGAACCAGUACCGUGAGGGAAAGGCGAAAAGAACCCCGGCGAGGGGAGUGAAAAAGAACCUGAAACCGUGUACGUACAAGCAGUGGGAGCCUCUUUAUGGGGUGACUGCGUACCUUUUGUAUAAUGGGUCAGCGACUUAUAUUCUGUAGCAAGGUUAACCGAAUAGGGGAGCCGAAGGGAAACCGAGUCUUAACUGGGCGUUAAGUUGCAGGGUAUAGACCCGAAACCCGGUGAUCUAGCCAUGGGCAGGUUGAAGGUUGGGUAACACUAACUGGAGGACCGAACCGACUAAUGUUGAAAAAUUAGCGGAUGACUUGUGGCUGGGGGUGAAAGGCCAAUCAAACCGGGAGAUAGCUGGUUCUCCCCGAAAGCUAUUUAGGUAGCGCCUCGUGAAUUCAUCUCCGGGGGUAGAGCACUGUUUCGGCAAGGGGGUCAUCCCGACUUACCAACCCGAUGCAAACUGCGAAUACCGGAGAAUGUUAUCACGGGAGACACACGGCGGGUGCUAACGUCCGUCGUGAAGAGGGAAACAACCCAGACCGCCAGCUAAGGUCCCAAAGUCAUGGUUAAGUGGGAAACGAUGUGGGAAGGCCCAGACAGCCAGGAUGUUGGCUUAGAAGCAGCCAUCAUUUAAAGAAAGCGUAAUAGCUCACUGGUCGAGUCGGCCUGCGCGGAAGAUGUAACGGGGCUAAACCAUGCACCGAAGCUGCGGCAGCGACGCUUAUGCGUUGUUGGGUAGGGGAGCGUUCUGUAAGCCUGCGAAGGUGUGCUGUGAGGCAUGCUGGAGGUAUCAGAAGUGCGAAUGCUGACAUAAGUAACGAUAAAGCGGGUGAAAAGCCCGCUCGCCGGAAGACCAAGGGUUCCUGUCCAACGUUAAUCGGGGCAGGGUGAGUCGACCCCUAAGGCGAGGCCGAAAGGCGUAGUCGAUGGGAAACAGGUUAAUAUUCCUGUACUUGGUGUUACUGCGAAGGGGGGACGGAGAAGGCUAUGUUGGCCGGGCGACGGUUGUCCCGGUUUAAGCGUGUAGGCUGGUUUUCCAGGCAAAUCCGGAAAAUCAAGGCUGAGGCGUGAUGACGAGGCACUACGGUGCUGAAGCAACAAAUGCCCUGCUUCCAGGAAAAGCCUCUAAGCAUCAGGUAACAUCAAAUCGUACCCCAAACCGACACAGGUGGUCAGGUAGAGAAUACCAAGGCGCUUGAGAGAACUCGGGUGAAGGAACUAGGCAAAAUGGUGCCGUAACUUCGGGAGAAGGCACGCUGAUAUGUAGGUGAAGCGACUUGCUCGUGGAGCUGAAAUCAGUCGAAGAUACCAGCUGGCUGCAACUGUUUAUUAAAAACACAGCACUGUGCAAACACGAAAGUGGACGUAUACGGUGUGACGCCUGCCCGGUGCCGGAAGGUUAAUUGAUGGGGUUAGCGGUAACGCGAAGCUCUUGAUCGAAGCCCCGGUAAACGGCGGCCGUAACUAUAACGGUCCUAAGGUAGCGAAAUUCCUUGUCGGGUAAGUUCCGACCUGCACGAAUGGCGUAAUGAUGGCCAGGCUGUCUCCACCCGAGACUCAGUGAAAUUGAACUCGCUGUGAAGAUGCAGUGUACCCGCGGCAAGACGGAAAGACCCCGUGAACCUUUACUAUAGCUUGACACUGAACAUUGAGCCUUGAUGUGUAGGAUAGGUGGGAGGCUUUGAAGUGUGGACGCCAGUCUGCAUGGAGCCGACCUUGAAAUACCACCCUUUAAUGUUUGAUGUUCUAACGUUGGCCCCUGAUCGGGGUUGCGGACAGUGUCUGGUGGGUAGUUUGACUGGGGCGGUCUCCUCCUAAAGAGUAACGGAGGAGCACGAAGGUUGGCUAAUCCUGGUCGGACAUCAGGAGGUUAGUGCAAUGGCAUAAGCCAGCUUGACUGCGAGCGUGACGGCGCGAGCAGGUGCGAAAGCAGGUCAUAGUGAUCCGGUGGUUCUGAAUGGAAGGGCCAUCGCUCAACGGAUAAAAGGUACUCCGGGGAUAACAGGCUGAUACCGCCCAAGAGUUCAUAUCGACGGCGGUGUUUGGCACCUCGAUGUCGGCUCAUCACAUCCUGGGGCUGAAGUAGGUCCCAAGGGUAUGGCUGUUCGCCAUUUAAAGUGGUACGCGAGCUGGGUUUAGAACGUCGUGAGACAGUUCGGUCCCUAUCUGCCGUGGGCGCUGGAGAACUGAGGGGGGCUGCUCCUAGUACGAGAGGACCGGAGUGGACGCAUCACUGGUGUUCGGGUUGUCAUGCCAAUGGCACUGCCCGGUAGCUAAAUGCGGAAGAGAUAAGUGCUGAAAGCAUCUAAGCACGAAACUUGCCCCGAGAUGAGUUCUCCCUGAGACUUUAAGUCUCCUGAAGGAACGUUGAAGACGACGACGUUGAUAGGCCGGGUGUGUAAGCGCAGCGAUGCGUUGAGCUAACCGGUACUAAUGAACCGUGAG